rnacentral:rRNA from 1 species
AAUGAACGCUAGCGGGGUGCCUUAUACAUGCAAGUCGAACGGCAUGUCGAACGGGGGAGUACUGACUGGGGACGUACCCAGUAGUGGCGUAUACCUACGCGAAAGCGUAGCCUAUACAGCAGACGAUUGGAGCGGCCGAUAUCGUAUUAGCUAGUUGGUGCGGUAACGGCUCACCAAGUCGACGAGCCGUAGGCGGUUUGAGAGGACGACCAGCCACACUGGGAAUGAGACACGGACCAGACUCCUACGGGAGGCAGCAGUGGGGAAUUUUGGACAAUGGGGGAAAGCCUGAUCGAGCAAUGCCGCGUGAGCGAUGAAGGGUUUCGGGUUGUAAAGCACUUUUGUGAGGAAAGCGGUACCUGAAGAAUAAGCAACGGCUAACUACGUGCCAGCAGCCGCGGUAAUUC